CUCCAGCAGCUGACUCCAGUUAAACAGCCCUCUCUGAUGCUGCUGAGAGUGGGAGGGGUUUGAGUCUAUUUAAGUCAAACCCAGCCAGUGCCUUCCUGGAGGAAGAAAAGUACUGCUGAAAGAAGCUGGAGGAAGAAAAACAGCUCCAGAUGAAAGUUCUGGAAUGCCAUUCCCAUCUUCUCACGCUCUUCAGUUCCUCUGAGAUGCAGUGGCAUCUUUGCUGGUCAUUUGGUUGCUCCAGCCUCUUCCACCUUGUCUGAUGGGAAGCAGCAGAAGACCUAAGUCAAAAGGAGAGCACUAUAGGAAACUGGAUGAAUACACAGUGGACUGCAGUCUGCCAGCCCCCUUUUCCCCCCAAGCUUGCUGCUUAAUUUUGCAGCACUAUGGCAAUGCCAGCCAGUGAAAAAUCUAGUGGCAUGAGGGAGUUCCUAAGUAAAAUGACACCUAUGGUCCCUCCAGGUCCCAAGGACACAUCCCGUUUCAGCUCUCAGGGCAUCGUCUGGCUAAGGAUACGACUGCAGCAGUCUCCUGAGAAUUGACUGUGCUUGCCUCCAACCAUCUGACUUGUGUCCACUCCCUACAAGUUUACUCCAUUUUCCAGGAGCCAGAACUAGCAGUGACCAAACUACAAAUACAUGCAGUAUGAUUUAUUACAGCGGCAGCAUUUUAGAAACUAUACAUCAUAGAAACACUAAACCAAGCUAUAAGCAAGCUCCAAAGCUCAGCAUUCCCUACAUCUAGGCAGGCCCAAUUUCUUUAAUACCCCCAGCUUCCAACACAGAGUGCCUCUGUUAGCCUGUCUCCCUAGGCUGCUUCUGACCAGGGCCUUCCCCCACUUUUGAGCAGGACCUUUUAACCUUUUCAUGCCCUUUCUAUCACAAGGCUCCACACUUCAGUGAAAUAAGCCUUGCAAUUUGGUGCAGUUCAGAAUCCUUGAAGCUAACAGCUCGCCCCAUUACCUUCCAAGUGAGUGCCUGAGGCUGCUUAACGAGACCUCGUGUACUGCAGUUGUGUUUACUCUUCCCAUGGCCCCCUAUUACAUUAAAUACAGUCAUGCAAGAGAUUCUAAUAACCCUCUUGUUAUACAGAAACUUU